AGCAGCUGUGCUCUUAAAUGGAAGGGGAUGGAGCGGCCCCUCUCCCACGGUUUCGUCUUCUCGAUGCCGCCCGUGCCCUCCUGAUUUCGCCGACGAUUCAAGCCGGAUUCUUGGGCGAAACCACGAAAUCGAGCCUCUAGAUCUCGAUAGCACGGAGGAGCGGCGGUUUCGGCCCGUUCGCGGGCGAAAACCAACGGCUUGUGGCCGUUUGUGGAAGGAGAUCAGGUGGGGGACCUGGAUUGAUACAUGAUCGGACCGGAUUCGAUGAAUGGAAGCCUAAAGAGGUAAAAGGCCGAGACUUUUGCUUUUUGGCAAUUUUCGCUGGAUUCGACGUGGGAAUCGGGGUCUGAUCGAGAAAUUUGCGAGUUUUGAGACGAAAAUUUCGUGCUUUGGAAAGAAAUCUGGAGUUUUUAGGGGUUUCUUUUUCGGCUCUUGCAUUUUUUGAGGGUUUUAAUUCGCCCUGGGAUUCUGCAUUGGCUGGAGUCGAGGAGAGUUAUUGGUUGCCUUUGUUGAUUUGGGCGUAAAGGUUCUCUUGCAUCAACGCCUCGUGAGACGUUGAUGGUUGGCGUGGGAGGGGAUUGUUGUUAGAUUCUUAUUUAUGGGGGGCAAAGCUCAGUGGUUCCCGAGGAUGUGCCGGUUGGAGAAGUCGAUCGGAUCUCAUUACGCCGGGGAGCGGCAGGUGGGUCUGAAGGCCGGCGGCGACGACGUUGGGGUGAAGAUGGAGAAGCUUAAGGGCUCGAUGGUCUCGAGGUCUCGAGUGAAGCUCUGGACGAUCCGGGCGACGACCACCGUGCUGCUGUGGACGUGCGUGGUCCAGCUCACGGCACUCGGGGAGAUGUGGGGGCCGAAGGUGCUCAAGGGCUGGCCUUCUUGCUUCACCCCCUCCGAUUCGCCUGUUCUGGUGAAACCCUCUUCAGUGGUCGACAAAAUCCCUCCUCCGCCCAAAAGAAUAUAUAAGAACAAUGGUUAUUUAAUGGUGUCAUGCAAUGGUGGGCUUAAUCAGAUGCGAGCAGCGAUUUGCGAUAUGGUCACCAUUGCUAGAUAUUUGAAUGUGACACUCAUUGUACCGGAGUUGGAUAAAACAUCAUUUUGGGCUGAUCCUAGUGAGUUUCAAGACAUAUUUGAUGUGGAUCAUUUUAUUAAAUCAUUGAGAGACGAGGUUCGGAUAUUGAAAGAACUACCUCAUAGGUUAAAAAGAAGGGCAGAGCUAGGAAUGGUAUAUUCUAUGCCACCUGUUAGUUGGUCUGAUAUUUCUUAUUACCAAAAUCACAUUCUUCCUUUGAUACAGAAGCACAAGAUAGUGCAUUUAAAUAAAACUGAUGCUCGGCUUGCUAAUAAUGGCUUGCCUUUGGAGAUUCAGAAAUUGCGUUGUCGAGUAAAUUAUGCUGCUCUGCGAUUUACCUCCCAAAUUGAAGAGCUAGGUAGACGAGUGAUUAGAAUGCUGCGACAGAAUGGUCCAUUUCUGGUCCUCCAUUUACGGUAUGAAAUGGACAUGUUGGCUUUCUCAGGCUGUACUCAGGGUUGUACUGAAGAAGAGGCAGAGGAGUUGACAAGAAUGAGAUAUGCAUAUCCUUGGUGGAAAGAGAAAGUUAUCAACUCUGACCUGAAGAGGAAAGAUGGUCUCUGUCCUUUGACGCCAGAGGAAACCUCUCUGAUUUUGAGGGCAUUGGAUAUUGAUCGCAGUGUCCCCAUAUACAUCGCAGCAGGAGAAAUGUAUGGUGGACAAAGGAGGAUGGCUGCCCUUACUUCAGCUUAUCCAAAUGUGGUGAGAAAGGAGACGUUGUUGGAACCUUCCGAUCUUAGGUUUUUCCAGAACCACUCAUCACAAAUGGCAGCAUUAGAUUACUUGGUUUCUUUAGAGAGUGACAUUUUUGUUCCUACAUAUGAUGGUAACAUGGCCAAGGUUGUCGAAGGUCAUCGCAGGUACUUGGGUUUCAGGAAGACAAUCCAAUUGGAUCGAAAGCUCCUUGUUGAGCUGAUAGACCAGUACAAUAAUGGUUCUUUGGGUUGGGAUGAGUUCUCCUCGUCAGUUAAGGCUGCCCAUGUUACUCGGAUGGGAAAGCCCACAAGGAGGGUAGUGAUUCCCGAUAGACCCAAGGAAGAGGACUACUUCUAUGCCAAUCCCCAAGAGUGCCUGCAUCAGCUUGAUGAGCCAUGGACUUUGUGAAAUUAUUGGAACCCUUCCCUAUUCUUUCAUAAAUGCAGCAAAUCUAUAUCCUUUUUCCAAAGAGGUCUCCAUUGGACCCAACUGAUUACAGUGGAGGAGGUUUGCUUCAAGGAGAGGUUUGAAAAUUGGAGGAGGUCAGCUCAUGCUGGAGGUGUUCUUCUGAUGCAACUGGAUGGUCGCUUACCACUUCUGCUAUCAUGAUGGUAGACUUUUUUAUGUGGGUGCGCCUGGUGGUGCGACGAUGAUGGUGACAAAAAUCGUGUCACGGGCUGAAAUCUGCACUUCGGAUGGCGUCUCCGUUGAAGACUUUGCCGGAUUUAGUUGUUUGGUCGAGUCCACUAAUAUGGUCUUUUCGCUGGAAGUUGCCCGCUAAUGAUUCCUUUUCGCGGGAAGUCCCCUUCCGCUCCCACCAAUUCGAGCGUGGGUUUGAGUCCGGGCCCACUCACCAAACUCAUCCAUUUCUGGUCCCAUUUUAGUUGUUGUAGUCGCUAAGGUCAGCCAUCGUUGUUAAUAUAGCAUACGACUCAUUUUCAAGGAAGGCUCAGCUGUGACGAUCGCGAUCAUUAUUAUAUAGCAUAUAACUCAUUUUCGA